rnacentral:rRNA from 1 species
UACAGAGGUCUCAAGCGUUGUUCGGAUUCAUUGGGCGUAAAGGGUGUGUAGGUGGCGCCGUAAGUCGGGUGUGAAAUUUCGGAGCUUAACUCCGAAACUGCAUUCGAUACUGCGGUGCUUGAGGACUGGAGAGGAGACUGGAAUUCAUGGCGUAGCAGUGAAAUGCGUAGAGAUCAUGAGGAAGACCAGUGGCGAAGGCGGGUCUCUGGACAGUUCCUGACACUGAGACACGAAGGCCAGGGGAGCAAACGGG